CCUGCCGGCGACCGGCGCACGGGUGAGUAACACGUAUGGAACCUGCCCGCCACAGGGGGAUAACCCGCGGAAACGCGGCCUAAUACCCCGUGACGCCACCGGAGGGCAUCCUCCGGUGGCCAAAGGAGCGAUCCGGUGGCGGAUGGGCAUGCGGCGCAUUAGCUAGACGGCGGGGUGACGGCCCACCGUGGCGACGAUGCGUAGGGGUUCUGAGAGGAAGGCCCCCCACACUGGGACUGAGACACGGCCCAGACUCCUACGGAAGGCAGCAG
rnacentral:rRNA from 1 species